AUUGAACGCUGGCGGCAUGCUUUACACAUGCAAGUCGAACGGCAGCGCGGGCUUCGGCCUGGCGGCGAGUGGCGAACGGGUGAGUAAUACAUCGGAACGUGCCCAGUAGUGGGGGAUAGCUCGGCGAAAGCCGGAUUAAUACCGCAUACGACCUGAGGGUGAAAGCGGGGGAUCUUCGGACCUCGCGCUAUUGGAGCGGUCGAUGGCAGAUUAGUUAGUUGGUGGGGUAAAGGCCUACCAAGGCGACGAUCUGUAGCUGGUCUGAGAGGACGACCAGCCACACUGGGACUGAGACACGGCCCAGGCUCCUACGGGAGGCAGCAGUGGGGAAUUUUGGACAAUGGGCGAAAGCCUGGUCCAGCAAUGCCGCGUGUGUGAUGAAGGCCUUCGGGUUGUAAAGCACUUUUGGCGGGAACGAAAAGGACUGUGCCAAUACCACGGUUCGAUGACGGUACCCGCAGAAUAAGCACCGGCUAACUACGUG
rnacentral:rRNA from 1 species